UCCUCUUCGGAGGACAAAGUGACAGGUGGUGCAUGGUUGUCGUCAGCUCGUGUCGUGAGAUGUUGGGUUAAGUCCCGCAACGAGCGCAACCCUUGAGCUUAGUUGCCAUCAUUCAGUUGGGCACUCUAAGUUGACUGCCGGUGACAAACCGGAGGAAGGUGGGGAUGACGUCAAAUCAUCAUGCCCCUUAUGAUUUGGGCUACACACGUGCUACAAUGGACAAUACAAAGGGCAGCGAAACCGCGAGGUCAAGCAAAUCCCAUAAAGUUGUUCUCAGUUCGGAUUGUAGUCUGCAACUCGACUACAUGAAGCUGGAAUCGCUAGUAAUCGUAGAUCAGCAUGCUACGGUGAAUACGUUCCCGGGUC
rnacentral:rRNA from 1 species